rnacentral:rRNA from 1 species
GACGAACCGAGCGAACGUUAUUCGGAAUCACUGGGCUUAAAGGGCGCGUAGGCGGGCCGUCAAGUCAGGGGUGAAAGCCUCCAGCUCAACUGGAGAAGUGCCUCUGAUACUGGCGGCCUCGAGGGAGGUAGGGGCGUGCGGAACUGUAGGUGGAGCGGUGAAAUGCGUUGAUAUCUACAGGAACUCCGGUGGCGAAAGCGGCGCGCUGGACCUCUUCUGACGCUGAGGCGCGAAAGCUAGGGGAGCAAACGGG